rnacentral:lncRNA from 1 species
AUGCAGAUACAUCAAUUUUCCAUAAAACUUAAUCACAUCAAUUUUCAUAUAAUCAUAUCUCAGGUGCAUUAUAAGGCCUACACACUAAUUUAUGAAUAUUAGUCAGAUUUCAGGUUAUAACUAAAUAUUCAGCCAUACUCGCAGAAGCUUUACACGAAGAGGGUGACCACAAUUAAACAACAGAAAAGCGCUUCAGCCAUACACAUGCAAACUUUUCAUGACCGAGUUAUAACCUGAAAUCUGACUAAUAUUCAGCGCAUACACAUGCAAGCUUUUCAUGACCGAUAACAGCAACAUAUGUCCAAUUAAAUGAGACCAUAAAUGGCAUUGGUUUUGAAGAUGGCGGAAACAGGUAAACUAUAAUUGCUUUAACAAACCAGAAGUAGCAAAUAGAAGCAAUGAUCAACAUGGUUAAGCUGAAGUAUUUAAAGAAGCUCAUUGAUGUAUGAAAUGUGGCAAAUGAGAAGCAAGUGAUCUCAGAAUAUUAUUUGACCAAUCAAAUGU